rnacentral:rRNA from 1 species
UACGGAGGGUGCAAGCGUUGUCCGGAAUCACUGGGCGUAAAGGGCGCGUAGGCGGCUCGGUAAGUAGGGGGUGAAAUCCUGCGGCUCAACCGCAGGGCUGCCUUCUAAACUGUCGAGCUCGAGCACGGUAGAGGCAGAUGGAAUUCCCGGUGUAGCGGUGGAAUGCGUAGAGAUCGGGAAGAACAUCAGUGGCGAAGGCGGUCUGCUGGGCCGUUGCUGACGCUGAGGCGCGACAGCGUGGGGAGCAUACAGG